UUUAGUAGUCCCUGGCGUACUACGGGAAGUGUAACCGCUCGGUCGGCGUAGCCGUAACACAUGCAAGUCGAACGAAGCGCAUGCCCUGGAACCCUCCGGGGGAACGGGCGAUAUGACUGAGUGGCGACGGGUGAGUAACGCGUGGGCGAACCUGCCCCGCGACUGGGGGACGAACAGCCGGAAACGGCUGCUAAUACCGCAUAUGCGCACAGCUUUGCAUGAAGCAGUGUGGAAAACUCCGGUGGUGCGGGAUGGGCCCGCGUCUGAUUAGCUGGUUGCGGGGCAACGGCCCACCAAGGCGACGAUCAGUAGCCGGCCUGAGAGGGUGGACGGCCACAUUGGGACUGAGACACGGCCCAGACUCCUACGGGAGGCAGCAGUGGGGGAUAUUGCACAAUGGGGGGAACCCUGAUGCAGCGACGCCGCGUGAGCGAAGAAGUACCUCGGUAUGUAAAGCUCUAUCAGCAGGGAAGAAAAUGACGGUACCUGACUAAGAAGCCCCCGGCUAAAUACGUG
rnacentral:rRNA from 1 species